rnacentral:rRNA from 1 species
GUGGGGAAUCUUGCGCAAUGGGCGAAAGCCUGACGCAGCCAUGCCGCGUGAAUGAUGAAGGUCUUAGGAUUGUAAAAUUCUUUCACCGGGGACGAUAAUGACGGUACCCGGAGAAGAAGCUCCGGCUAACUUCGUGCCAGCAGCCGCGGUAAUACGAAGGGGGCUAGCGUUGCUCGGAAUUACUGGGCGUAAAGGGCGCGUAGGCGGACAGCUUAGUCAGAGGUGAAAGCCCAGGGCUCAACCUUGGAAUUGCCUUUGAUACUGGCUGUCUUGAGUUUGGGAGAGGUGAGUGGAACUCCGAGUGUAGAGGUGAAAUGCGUAGAUAUUCGGAAGAACACCAGUGGCGAAGGCGACUCACUGGCCCAAUACUGACGCUGAGGCGCGAAAGCGUGGGGAGCAAACAGGAUUAGAAACCCUAGUAGUCC